rnacentral:rRNA from 1 species
UACGAAGGGGGCUAGCGUUGUUCGGAAUUACUGGGCGUAAAGCGCACGUAGGCGGACUUGUCAGUCAGAGGUGAAAUCCCGAAGCUUAACUUCGGAACUGCCUUUGAUACUGCAAGUCUUGAGGAUGAGAGAGGUAAGUGGAACUGCGAGUGUAGAGGUGAAAUUCGUAGAUAUUCGGAAGAACACCAGUGGCGAAGGCGACUUACUGGACACAUAUUGACGCUGAGGUGCGAAAGCGUGGGGAGCAAACAGG